UGCAAAUAAACACGCCUAAGUGUUAAUCCGAUUUUGCAUAUAAAUGGUAUUAUUAACAUUCUUAAAAAAAUAAAGAAAAAAAGAAGAAAAAGAAAAAAAAGAAAAAGAAAAAAGAAGUAUUAGGAUAUAAGUUUGUAUGUAUAUAUAUUUAGCUAGGUUUGUAUACAUGUUUUGACAAGUUUGCAUCUAUAUUUAUACAAGCUCGUAUACGCACACACGUUUUGUACACAUACAACACGACGUUGUUAUGUAAAAAAAAAAAAAAAAAAAAUGGACCUGUUCAAAUCCGAAACAAUCAAUUUUUCACUUAGUUAUGAUAUAAGUUAUGUAUGCUGUUUAAACAAUUAUCUUUACAUUUGUUUAAAAGAUGGUAGUAUAAACCAUUAUGAAUUAGAAAAAGGUAAAUCACAUUGUGGUAGUGUUGAAAUAACAUGUGUAAACAGUUGCAUAAUUAAAAAAAAUAAAGAAAUAAGAAAAUUAAUAGUGGUUGAAGAUGAACGUACAGGUGGAAUUAUUCUUUUACUUUUAGUUGAUGAUGAAUUAUAUGUUGUUAAAAAUAACAAUUUCAAAAAUCCCAUUUUAAUUAAUAAAAAUGUAACACGUUUCACCGUAAAUGAAUAUAAUAAACUUGAGUUGUUGUUGUAUAGUAAAAAAAGAAAAAAAUUGGUUUGGUAUAAAUAUGAUAACAAUGAAACAUACAAAUCAUAUAAAGAAAUAAAUGCUGGUAUAGAAGAAAUAAGUUAUUUUUUAUUAAUAAAUAAUUCUUUAUUUUUAUGUAUUAAUAAAAAUUAUUAUAUUCAAAAUUUAAAAAAAAAUGAAAACGUGUUAAUAUAUAGUCAUGAAUUUGAUAUAACUUAUAAAUAUAUAACACUUAUAGAUAAAAAAGAAAUAUUUAUUGUAUGUGAUUUUAAUAUUGGUGUUUUUUAUGAUGUUGCCACUUCAUUACCUUCACGUAAAAAUACUAUAAACUUACCUGCAAACAUAAGAAAAAUAAAUUCAUUUCAUUUUUUUUUAUGUUGUUUAAAUACCAACGGUAUACUUCAUAUCUAUAAUACUAAUAAUCAACAACAUGUGCAAACAAUAUCUUUGAAUAAUAAUGACAGCAUAUAUUUAGUUAUAAAUUAUAGUAACUUCAGUAAUUCUUUUUUUUCUUUAUUUAAUUAUGAAAGUGAUGAAAAAACAGACGAAAUAAUGUGUGGAACUGAAAUAGAAAAAGAGGAAAAAUAUAAUAUGAAAGAUUUUGGUAAUGUUGUUACUAGAAUUGACGGUGGCGACGAUAUAAAAGACGUAUAUGAAUAUACAGAUCCAAACCAAGACGAACCUAUCAAUUCUGAAUUAAUGAUUAACAACUAUAACUAUUUUAAAAACAAUAUAUAUUUUGUAAGUAAAAAAUAUAUUCAAAUUGUAAAGUGUAUGAAAUUUUAUCAAUAUUUACCUAAAUGUGUUGAACGAAAUAAAAUUGAGACUGGUUUAUUGUUAAUUCAUAAAUUUAGUUUUGAAAAUGCAACUGAUAAAAAUAAUAUUUUACAUGAUUAUAAUAAGUUGUGUGCUUAUUAUUAUUUUAAUUCUUUAAAUUUUGCACUAGCUUUUUUAUAUUUUCAGCAAGUUAAUAUAAACAUAUUUUUUAUUUUAGCUUUUUGGGAACUUUAUUUUAAUCAAAACGAGGACAAUAAUAGUAGUAGUAAUAGUAGUAGUAGUAAUAGUAGUAGUAGUAGUAGUAGUAGUAGUAAUGGUGCCUCUGUUGAUGGAAAAAAUGGUGUUAACGCAUGUAUAAAAUCUAGUAAUUUGUUUUCUACUAAUACCAGUGAAAGUGAUACUAUCUUUUAUGAUAACAAUGGAUCUGAUGACACUUACUCUUUAAAUGAAUACAUAAACAAACAUUUUAAACAAUACAUACCAAAACUAUGCAGUAUUUCGGAACACAUAGAAAUCAAUUAUUCAAAUUAUGUAAAAAAAAAUAAUUAUUUAUAUAUAGAAACUGAAGAAAGUAAUAAAAAUAGCAACCAUUUACUAAAAAAUGAUGAACUUAGUAAGAAUAUAAAAAAACAACUUCUACAUACUGCUAAUAACUGCUUAAUAAAAUACUUACUUCUAAAAAGAAAUGAAUAUAUCGAAAAAAAAAUAAAAAUAAAAAUACCAACACAUGAGUGGAUACGUUUUACAACAAGAAAAGAAACUAUAAAACAUGGGGGGGAAAGAAAAAAUAAUAUAAACGAUGCAAAUAACACAAACGAUGCAAAUAACACAAACGAUGCAAAUAACACAAAUGACACAAACAAGUGUAGUUAUAUACAUAUAGAUAAACUAAUUGACAAUGUGUUAUUCAAAUUAAUCAUCAUAAAUAAUAAUUCUAUAUACUCCAACUUUAUUAUGAACACUAUAAAUUUAAACCUGAAUAUUAUAGAAUGUGAAAAUAUCUUACAGAAAAAAAAAAAAUUUAUUGAAACAAUUAUGCUGUAUAUAAAAAUUAAACACUUUGAUAAAGUCAUCCAAAUGUGCCAAUUGUUUAUUCAUUAUUGUAAUCUAAAGUGUAACCAUAAAGAAGAAGAAGAAGAAGAAGAAGAAAAAGAAAAAGAAGAAAAAGACAAAGAAGAAGAAAAAGAAGAAGAAGAAGAAAAUUAUGAGAAACAAAUAAUAGGAACAAAUGACAAAACUAAUGACAAAACUAAUGCUGUACCUGUUUAUAAUGUGGAAAAUCUAGUGAAUGUGACAGACACGGAAAAUGUAAAGAGCUUAACUACUCAUGUUAAAAAAAAUUUGGAUAAAAAAGUAGAACAAGAGAAACAGCAAAAGCAAGAUCAAAGGAAUAAGAUAAACCAAUGCUGGAGUCAAUUCUUUGAGCAAAAAACAUUUAAACGAAAAAUAGAGAAUGACCCUCUUUUAUACCCUGUUUUAAAAAACAUAUAUAAAAUUUUAAUAAUAUUACACGAUAAUAUACAUAUGAUAAAUUUAGAACGAAGUGAAUUGAAAAAGUUAUUUGAAUCUUCGUUUUUUUUUUUAAUAAAACAUAAUGAAAAAUUAUUUUUUAAUUUUAUUAUUAAUAAAAAUUUUUUACUAACCCCAGACGAAAUAUUAUGUAUACUUAAAAAAAUUGAAAAACAAAACAAAACAGAUAUAACAGUUAAGAAUUUUAUAAAAAAAUACAUUUUCAAUUAUAUAAAAUAUGAUAAAAAUAAUAAAAACGUUAACACAACUUUGAUUGAAGUAUAUAUGAACAAUUCCAAAAAAAGUAUACAGACUAGGUAUGAAAAAAUAUUAAAAAUUAUACUUUUCGAUUACCCUAUAGAUAUCUAUUAUCUUCUUCGGAUUAUCGAUGAAAGGGAGUUUGGUUUAAUUAAGGCAUUAUUGUAUGGAAAGAUACAUAAGCAUUAGUAAGUUUAAACACAUGCGUGUGUCC
ensembl:lncRNA